rnacentral:rRNA from 1 species
UGGGGAAUUUUGGACAAUGGGGGCAACCCUGAUCCAGCAAUGCCGCGUGUGCGAAGAAGGCCUUCGGGUUGUAAAGCACUUUUGGCGGGAACGAAACGGCGUCUGUUAAUACCAGAUGCUAAUGACGGUACUCGCAGAAUAAGCACCGGCUAACUACGUGCCAGCAGCCGCGGUAAGACGUAGGGUGCAAGCGUUAAUCGGAAUUACUGGGCGUAAAGCGUGCGCAGGCGGUUUCGUAAGACAGGCGUGAAAUCCCCGGGCCUAACCUGGGAACUGCGCUUGUGACUGCGAGACUAGAGUGUGUCAGAGGGAGGUGGAAUUCCGCGUGUAGCAGUGAAAUGCGUAGAGAUGCGGAGGAACACCGAUGGCGAAGGCAGCCUCCUGGGAUAACACUGACGCU